ACAAAUAUGAGAUUCAACUGGAAGAUGAAUUGCAACCCCAUGGAUAUUUGAAGGAUGAAAAGUUGAAAAGAUUGGAAGGAUUAAAUGAGGAAAAUGAUAUGACAAAAGUCGUUGAUGAGUUCAGCCAGCUGGAGAAUAUCUCAUAUGAAUCUGCUCAAACUUCAAGCUGUUUAAAAGAGAUAUUUCCCCAAGCUGAAAGUGUAAAGGAAAGUGAUUUCAAUCUUUCCAUAAGGGAUGAAGAACAUGAUAUGACUAAUGAAAGCGAACAACCAGAUGAACUGAGGCCCUAUGGGAAUGUAACCACUGGAUGGGAAGAAGUGGGGUGCUUCAGCGAGAAAAACGUAAUGAGCGAAAGAAUGGAUGGUCGUGAAGAAGGAAAUGAUCUCCUGAAAGAGGAAGAGAUGUUAAUUCACAGAGAAUCCCAACCCAAUCAAACUGAGCAAAAUAUACCAGCUAAUGGACAGAAACUCAAUGCAGAUGAGGAAGAACACCUACUCUCAGGUGGAGAAAAAUGUAAUCUAUCUGACCAAGAGAAUGUACUCUCAGGUGGAGAAAAAUGUAAUCUAUCUGAACAAGAGAAUGUACUCUCAGGUGGAGAAAAAUGUAAUCUAUCUGAACAAGAGAAUGUACUCUCAGGUGGAGAAAAAUGUAAUCUAUCUGAACAAGAGAAUGUACUCUCAGGUGGAGAAAAAUGUAAUCUAUCUGAACAAGAGAAUGUACUCUCAGGUGGAGAAAAAUGUAAUCUAUCUGACCAAGAGAAUGUACUCUCAGGUGGAGAAAAUCUUAAGGUAUCUGAACAAGAGCAAAUUGGUGAAAAACUGAAUCUAUCCGACAAUGACAAAGAGCAUGAAGAUGACACUCCCAGUACAUCUAUUUCGGGGAGGGCUGAGCUAAUAGGCAACAGCUACGCUCAGGAAAACACACUGGCUGACACACGUCCCCUAAUCCGGUACAAGAGCGACGAGACAGAUGCCAAUACUCAGGCCUCAUACAUGGGAGAAAGUGAUGCCAGUGAUGGAGAAGAGGACAAGGAGGUUGGACAGACAGGAUUAUGCACCUUGGGUGAAGGUAAAUCCAAACGGUUUGAUACAAUGGAAGACCUGUAUGAAGAGUCCGAAGGCCAUGCCAUGGAUCAGGAAGGUAAGAUGGGCUCCACACAAACAGAGGACACGGAUGGUAGCCAAGCAAUGGGGUAUGGCACAUUAGGGAACAAUGACAAACAUGCUGAAGAUUCAUGGAACCCGAAGGCAGAAGAGGAGCAAUUCUACGAAGAACUUGCAACCACUGGAGGGUACUCAAACAUUUACAGUGAUGAGGAUUAUAAUGAAGAGAAAAUUGAUAGAUUGGUGGAGCAGGAGUUAGAGAAUUUAUCUAUAUCCAGUUACAGUGAACAUUUUAUUGGGCCGAUGAGUAAGAGCGGGUCAGCAUUAAGCCUUCAGGCAAAAGACAUGAGCAGUGAAGAGGUGGAGCAGAUACACUCAGUAAACCUGAAUCAAUCUGGACAAAUACCUCUAAGGGAAGAAAAACUAAAUGAAUCUCAGCUAGACCAUAUACCUUCAAGCGGCGA
ensembl:lncRNA